GAGUUUGAUCUUGGCUCAGGAUGAACGCUGGCGGCGUGCCUAAUACAUGCAAGUCGAGCGAACGGACGAGAAGCUUGCUUCUCUGAUGUUAGCGGCGGACGGGUGAGUAACACGUGGAUAACCUACCUAUAAGACUGGGAUAACUUCGGGAAACCGGAGCUAAUACCGGAUAAUAUUUGAACCGCAUGGUUCAAAAGUGAAAGACGGUCUUGCUGUCACUUAUAGAUGGAUCCGCGCUGCAUUAGCUAGUUGGUAAGGUAACGGCUUACCAAGGUCAACGAUGCAUAGCCGACCUGAGAGGGUGAUCGGCCACACUGGAACUGAGACACGGUCCAGACUCCUACGGGAGGCAGCCAGUAGGGAAUCUUCCGCAAU
rnacentral:rRNA from 1 species